AUGAGGUAAUAUUACCUUGGAAACAGCUGAGUGUUGGUGACAGGAAGAACAUCUAGUUGUAGAAAAUCAACCUCAACAGAUUCUGUCCAACUCAUGUGAGCAUGGAAAAAUGGAUAUUAAAUGUUAACUU